UGAAAUAUUUCUCAGAUGUCAUCACUUC
rnacentral:piRNA from 1 species